UAAGUCUCCUGAAGGAACGUUAAAGACGAUGACGUUGAUAGGUCGGGUGUGUAAGCGUAGCGAUACGUUGAGCUAACCGAUACUAAUGAACCGUGAGGCUUAACCUU
rnacentral:rRNA from 2 species